ensembl:lncRNA
GUGAGGCUCUGAUUGGCCAGGGUUGGGUCACAUGACCAUCCUGGGCCCUGGAAGUGCAGUUGCCAGCGCGCAGAAAAAGUGAACCACUGGGGAAAAAAAAAAAAAAAAGUGAACCACUGGUAGGAGGAGGGGGAUGUCCUGCAGAAAAUCGAGGUGUCCUUCCCUAAAGAAGGGUGAAAAGAUGGGAGGGAGUGGGUGAGGUGAUCAGUAAAUGGUGGUCGAAGUUGAAGAUAGUGGUUGGCCUCCUUUCUCCCAAGUUCUAACCCGGUUGUCCUUGGCUGAGUCAGAAAAUUAUUUCUGAAAAUUGUCCAGCAGUUUCUGACGUCUCCUGCCAAAAAAAUGCAACAGUCGGAAUAUAAAGGCCCAGCUGCUCAAUUAAUGGGCCCGGCAGGAAGAUGGACAGAGAAGGCAAGAGGUACCCGGGUUAGAGCAGAACAGGGGCGGAGGCCUCUGACAGGUGACAGAGAUAAGAAGAGGGCUGGACUCCAGGAGCCCGCAGGACAGCCAAACUCAUCAGGAGUCAGCCUGGUAACUGUCUCCUCCUUGCAAGGCUUGAGAACUUUCUCCGGUGACCUCCAGGUGAUCUUGCUUCCUUGGUUCUGAAGAAGCUAUGUCAGGAGCUGUGUGCUGGAAUAUUCAUUGCAAUGUUAUCAGAUAUUACGCUUAUGAGAGGCUUAUUUUGUGCCCAACUCUGUUCUAAGCGUUUUAUGUGAAUUAUCCUGUGUAAUCCUCCCAAACAGUCCUACGAGGUAAGUACUGUAAUUAUCCCAGUUUACAGAUGUGGAAGCUGACUCACAGGGAAGUUAAGUACGUAGCCCUUGAGUGGCUGAGCUGGGAUUCAAACCCAGGCAGUCUGGCUGCUGAGCCCAUAGGACACGCUGUCCGUGUGUCCCCGACCUCCUUUCAGCAGCCACCUUUCUGUGCAAGCCCAUCUGAUUCUUCAAACCUCCCGUGCCACACUUGCACAACCCCAAGAGUGAGGACAUUUUGCAACCUUGUCGCCUCACCCGCCUCCCUGGAGUCCCGGACCUCCUAACCACCCAUACUUGGACUUGGCUCUGUCCACCAGGGCUGGCUCGGCAAGUGUGGGGGUGAACCAGAAGUGCCAGGGAGUUCACGUUUUCUGGGAGCAUCCCUCAACGGAUGACUGACUGCAGUUCUUGCUCUGCAAGAUAAAUACCCAGCUCCCUUGCCUCCAGGACAACUCUGAGGUAUGUUCUAUGGUUCCCAGUCCUCCCCAGCAGGAGUGAGCUCCAGCUGCCCACGGUGGUAAUUUGCUUGGUAAAGUGUCCCUUUUGUAUUAACUUCCCUCCUCUCCCUGUCUCCCUUUCCUACUCCCUUCCUCAUAUGUCCUGGAAUCACCUCUCAAAUAAGUAAUUUGCAGUAGAGCCCUUGUCUCUGAGUCUCUUUACAGGAAACUCAAACCAAGUAGUAUCUAAAGUCCUAACCAUUACACGCUGCCUGGACAUAUCGAUGUUGUUUGUAAGUGCAAACAAAACCAGCAACUUGGAAAAAAACCCGGAAGUCGCCUCAACAGGGAACUGGCUAAAUCAAAAUCAAUCCUAUCCCACUUUGUAUUUUAUUUUAUUAUUAUUUUUUAAAC